rnacentral:rRNA from 1 species
UACGGAGGGUGCGAGCGUUACCCGGAUUUACUGGGUGUAAAGGGCGUGUAGGCGGUCUCUCAAGUCCGAUGCUAAAGACCGAGGCUCAACCUCGGGAGUGCGUUGGAUACUGUGAGGCUAGACGGUCGGAGAGGGCAGCGGAAUUCUCGGAGUAGCGGUGGAAUGCGCAGAUACCGAGAGGAACGCCGAUAGCGAAGGCAGCUGCCUGGCCGAUUUGUGACGCUGGGGCGCGAAAGCGAGGGGAGCACUCCGG